rnacentral:rRNA from 1 species
GUCCACGCCCUAAACGAUGUCAACUGGUUGUUGGACUGCUUGCUGUUCAGUAACGAAGCUAACGCGUGAAGUUGACCGCCUGGGGAGUACGGCCGCAAGGUUGAAACUCAAAGGAAUUGACGGGGACCCCGCACAAGCUGUGGAUGAUGUGGUUUAAUUCGAUGCAACGCGAAAACCUUACCUACCCUUGACAUGUCAAGAAUCUUGCAGAGAUGUGAGAGUGCUCGAAAGAGAACUUGAACACAGGUGCUGCAUGGCCGUCGU